rnacentral:rRNA from 1 species
UACGGAGGGUGCGAGCGUUGUUCGGAAUUAUUGGGCGUAAAGCGCACGUAGGCGGCCUGGUAAGUCUCACUGUGAAAGCCCGGGGCUCAACCCCGGGAGGCCAGGGGAUACUGCCGGGCUGGAGACAGGUAGAGGCUGGUAGAAUUCCGGGUGUAGCGGUGGAAUGCGUAGAGAUCCGGAGGAAUACCUGAGGCGAAGGCGGCCAGCUGGACCUGAUCUGACGCUGAGGUGCGAAAGCGUGGGGAGCGAACAGGAUUAGAAACCCCCGUAGUCC